UUGUCUUCUUUUCAUUCUGGGCACACACAUCAUCUGCAACAGCUGUGCAAUGUAACAAUAAGUACAUGUGUAGUGCAACAGGGAAAAAUAUGGAGCCAUAUUAUACAGUAGUUUCAAUAAGUACAGUGCUUUAAAGUGCAUAUAUACCAUAUCGCUGUAUAGUGUAUAUAUGUAUGUACAAACAAACAUGCAUAAUACUGCAGGGUGCAAAAUAACACAACGGCAGGGAAUGUCUUGCACGUUAUAUAAUGUGCCGCAUACCAGCACAGACUGCAAGCACUUCAAAGAAUUGGAAUAUGGAAGGCUUUUUCAAGGCAAAAAAUAGACAAGCAACAUGCCAUCAACUAUGCACCACCAUACAUUGUAUUCGUGUAUCUUUUUAAUAGUAUGUGCAAAAUAAUCAAUUCAAGUAAGAACUCUGCAUAAUGCUUAAAUCCAUGCAAAACAAUUUGGCUUUAGCAUGGCACAAUUUAGCACAGUGCUAAAGUUUAUGCUAUUGUUUGUGCUACAAUUACUGUAUAGACUUGCGUAAGGGCCGCACUUUUAUGAGGUGCAGUCUUUACAUGGAACAAAACCUUUUGGUCAAAAUGGUGCCAGCGACUACAGCACACCUCGGAUGUACCACUGCAUCGGAGGUCAACGCGCAGCUCUCGCCAUCUAGUAAUGGCACGCUGAAGUAUGCAGUGUGCGGCAUCGGGGCACCGAAUGUGAUUGCUUCUCGGAUGGGAAUAUUUUUUUUCCAAAUUUUGGGCUGCCAAGUUGGGGGUGCGGCCCUUACGAGAGUCUAUAUGGUAUAGUACAGCAACCUCAUGUGCCUCUUCAGCUCUAGGUUCUAGGGUAGAGUGUAUAGGAAAACUCUUUAUACUCUACACUGCACUGGAACUUCACGUCCUUUCCUCGGAUAUCUUGUGUUCAAUUUCCCGAACUUGUGCCGUUUCUUCUAAUCUGGCAUUAUUUUUUACUGUUAUGUGAAAGGACUAGCUGGCACCAUUUUUGGGUGACAGUAUGUUUUUCUUGUCAUAUAUAUGUAUAUCAUUAAAGAUUUAUUCAUUUUAUACAAGUGGGCACACUUUAUUCGUGAAGAUAUUGUGCUUUUCUAAAAAAGAUGCCACUGCAAUGGAUACUCGCGCUUAAUUUCACUGAGCAAUUUUUUCAAAUGAAAAAACGCUGCUCGGGGAGGAUUGUUAGGGGGUUAUCUUUGCAAUCUAUGACUCUGACCUAGUUAGUAGAUAGCUUUAGUUUACCCAUAUAGAUGCAUUACCUUUUACAGAAUUACUGGGUUAACAGAUCUGUGAAUGGCAGUAGCUACGUUGGUAGGAACACCAGAUGUUUUGUCCAACCACAAUGCGUUUAACAUGGUUUUAUGUUGUAUGAGGGGUCUUGUCGGAGAACUCUAUAAAGGGUUUCAUGUUAAACGAUUGUCACCGCCAACAGUUGACGCCAGCAGCUAAGUAGAAUAUGGUUGGCCGCUAGAAUAAUAGCUCUGUGUCCUCUCUAGUUAAGGUUUGCACCACCAGCUGGUGCUAUUAGCACUGCCCUAGCUGCCCACGUAUCCGGUGACCUAGUGUUCUGCAAAGGGCAAUACAUUAACAGACAAGCUAAAACUAUCCAAUAGCUGUGAUUAGCCGGCACGCAAGUUCUGCACUUCAGAGUCUCCAAGGAACAUCAGGUCAUACAGUCCAUGACAUUGCACCUAAGUAUACAUGCUAUCUCUAGCAAGCCCAGCAAGGUAAGUUGACCAGGAACCCUGGACGCAUGAA